rnacentral:piRNA from 1 species
UAGUUGAUGUCUAAGGACUUCCUACCUGU